CGCUUCCUCCCUCUCUUCCCGUCAAUCACGCGCUCCGGCGCUGCUCCCCUCCCUCCCCUGCCCGGCGCGGCGCCCCUCCUCUUUCCUGCUUCCCCACCUCUCCCCGGCGUUGCUCCCCAGUCCCCUCCCCUUCCCCGUAGCUGCUCCCCUCCCCUGUCGCGGCAGCCCGAAGGCCCCCGAUGGGCGGCGCACAGAGCGGCGGCAUGCCGCGCGGGGAGAAGCGCCGCGAGGGGCCGGGGGGUCGCGGCGCGAGGGGCGGUGAGGCCGCAGCGCGAGGGAAGGUGGACCCGCCCGAUCCGCUGGCCUUCUCCGCCUCCGCCCCGUUGCCCACCAUCCCGGCCGCCUCGAGCCCCAGGCCCCACGAUGGGAGGUCACGGCUCCACGCCUCGCCGUUCCGUUCCAAUCACCCCGCCGCCGCCGCCUUCGCCCCGAUCCGGCGCUCCGGGGUCGACCUCUCGCGUCGCCCCGCGGCAUCCGCCAUCGCCCAGCAGGAGGGCUCGCCGUCCGUGGGCUCCUGGUUCCGCGCAGCAAGAGCCGCACCUACAUCUGCUUCGCGGUGAACCCACGGUAGCGGAUCCGCCUCCCCAUUUGCAUCACAGCAUGCUCCAUGGCCGAUGUGGCUUGCCUCUUCUUGCUGGUGGCGGUGGCCGCCGCGCUCGCCAGCCGGUCAGGUGAGUAUCGCCACUCGCCCCUCUCCUGCGUUCCUGCUGCUUGCUCCCUCAUGUGGGCUGCCCCGUCGUCCCGUUGCUCUCCCACACGGCGGUGGCCUCGGCAACCUCAUUCUGCGAAAGGUGUGGUACGCGUUUGGGGCAGCAACAUUUUUUUGCAGGCAGUGGGGGAGCGCAGUUCGUCCUCCUCAUCCACAGCGGCGACCCACCUGCGAGGCCUCGUCUAUUUUCGUGGACCCAUCCUUCCCGUGGAGCCAUGGGGGCGCGCUCAAAAUCUCCGCCUUCGCCAUUUCCCUGCUGCAACGUGUCGGGAUUUCUCACCAGUUUGCUUGGUGAUUGGAUCUGGAAAAGAAAAAGGCAUUGUUUGCGCUGGUAGUUCACUGAUUAGUUCUUUGUCUCUGUCAUUUUGGAGUUGGUCUUAUCACUUGAGAAACAGCAAGUCCCAUCAGGAUUUUGGUAAUUGCAUUUGGGCACCCAGGAAACAGUUACGUAAUCAGAUUGCCUUGCAGAGGGAACGGGCAUAUUGCAAUAAUCAGCUAGCUUGUUUGAGGCUCCUAAAUUGCCAACAAUUUGGUUGGGAAACGGGGGCUGGCCAAAUUGAAAAUAUUCACUUACAGCAACUAAUGCCAGUUUAGUAAUUAAUCCUUUAGCAAGAGUGUCGGGAUUGUUUCUGAAUAACAUGAGGCUGGAAUGGGUGCUGAACAUCAAGCACUACACCACCAAGGUUAUUUCUGCGGUGGUUGUCAUGGCGGCCCGGCGUCGGGAUAUGCACGGUCACGGAUGGCGAGGUCACUGCCAAGGGAUUCCUUUGCGCGCGUGUGGCUGUGUUCUGCACGUCGCUGCAGCAGAUUACCAUUGGCUCCUUUCAGAAGAAGUACAACAUUGGAUCAUUUGAGCUGCUGAGCAAAACUGCACCAAUUCAAGCAAUUUCACUUAUUAUACUGGGCCCAUUUGUCGAUUACUAUCUCAAUGGGUGAUCAUUGUUGAACUACAAUUUUUCAGGAGGGGCCACUGUCAGUUAUAGCUUCUGUCACACUUUUCAGUUCUUGAAAGCACACUUCCUUUGUGAAUGCUACCUGUGCUGAGUGCUCUAUCUUCUACUUUAAAUUCAUUACUUGUAUUCUCAGCUCUUCAACCGAAGUAUGCAUUUUCCCCAUUUUGGAGUGAAUACCCUGGCCAGUAGCCCACAUGUAGUAAAAUUUUGUUGCCAAUGACAUAACUGAUUCUGUCAUGGAACUGUCACAACUCACAAGAGUUUGUUUUUUGGUUCCCCGAUAUUGCUUAACAUUCUUCCUAAGAAUUGGUUAUCUCUUGAUUGUUCUAAUAUAUGGCUUUUACUCAGUUUUACUGCAUUUUUAACGCCAAAACUAAUGAAAUAAGCUUUCGCUGUUACCUUGUAUUUGCAAUUGAUACAUGAUGUUGUCCGUGCUGCUUUCUGUUGUUCAAAUCCUUUGGAUGAAUGCAAAAGACUAUAUUUAGUCUCAUCUAAUUGACAAAAUGGCCGCUAGCUAGAAAAUAAUUUUAAUUCUUUGUUAGAAAGGGGUAACCAUGAUACAGUGAAUAUGAAGUGGUUGUCCAAAAUUCAAAUCUAGAGGUGCAGUGCUGGUUGGUUUUGAAGCAACUGCAACUUAUUGAAAUGGCACUGCACAUUCUAAUGUUCUACCUGCCUUUUUUUUAAUGUACUUUCCAAGCCUUUGGAAGGAUUGAUCCUGAAAAGUGUAGAUACAAACAACCCAAGUAUUUUUCCUCAUAUCUUCACAACAGAACAUCUGAAAUCUCAUUGUGUAGUUUUGCUGAUAAAUAAUCAUUAUACCUCCUUUGGCUUACUGUUUCAGAUAUAGAUGUUUUAUGUUUCUCCUUUUAUUUCAAAUUUCAUCACAAUUUGUUUGCAUAGUAGAAUUUGAUAAAACUUUUGCAAGAAGUCACUGCAGUUGCUAUCUACCUCUUUUUUGGUGUUUAUUUGACAGUUUGAUAAUUAGUUCAGUAAUUGUUUGGUUCACCUUGCGAUAUAUAACAAUAACAUCAGUGAGCGAUUACUAGCUACUUCAUUUGCAGAGGUGUCUAGAGGGGAGGUGUGGGUGGCUCUGUGGCUGCCUAACCGAGGGUAGAGACCACGAGAAAAGUCCAUGCUGAUGGGGAGCUGCAUCAGCGUGGGGCUCGCCUCGACACCACUCUGCAGAAGACUGGUGCCAGGCUGUGAUGUUCUUGAGGGAUGAGGACGACGUGGGUGGUGUUGUGUCUAUUGUUUGUUUGGGUGAUCCAGUCCUAUAUUCUGUUUCAUUUGGCUUUCCUCUUAAUCUAAUGGUGGCCUUAUCUCUGAACUUGGUGAACAUGCAUUUAAUAUUUUGUUUUUAUGGUGUUUUUCGCUUAUUAA